CAUUGGGUGGUUCAGUGGGUAGAAUCCUCGCCUGCCACGCGGGGGGCCCGGAUUCGAUUCCCGGCCAAUGC
rnacentral:tRNA from 1 species